UGCAUAAAAUAUAAUUUAUAUCAACAUUUACAUUAAAAGGAUUUACUUUUUUAAUCAUUUACAAACUUAAAGUUUACGACAUACUUGCGCCGAUUUCCGGUAAUUUCCCAAAUCUCGAUGUAAACAACAAGUCGGAAUGACAAAAACUGAUGGAUAUUAUUAGUGUAUGACGAAUAUUGCGAACACAAACUGAUGUCGGGUGUCAUAAAAAGGGAAUGGAAAAAAGGACGAGACCAUACACCAGUUCCCUGUGAUCUAAACCUGCCAUUUGCAAGCAGUAAGCAUGACUUUUCAAACCUCCAAGAGAUGAGAACAUCACUGGUAUGUGUUAACGAGGUCAUUCCUAAUACAAGACACAAUGCAGAAAAAUAUAAGACUAAUGUAAAGAACUGAAACCAUGAGUGAUGAAGAGAAGAGCUAUUAUUAUUAUUGUCUCUGUUAUGUUCAUCCUGAUAAAGCCUUUCCCGAUUGAUGCCCUGGAUCAUUUAUUUGGUAAUUUAAGGAUGACAAUAGUUAUUUCAACAUUUAUGAUAUAAUAUUAAGACAAUUAAUAAGCAGCACAACAUAUUCUGAAAUAUGAAACUGGACCAAACCAGUGAUAAACUACCAUUUAUGAUUUAUUACAUUUACUUGGAUUUGAAAACCAUUUCUGAAACUCCAAAAGUCAUGAAUAAUUUGGACAUAUAAUGCAUACAAUUAAGAAUUAGUAUUGUAAAAGAAUAUAUAUUAUGAUAAUGCAUAUGCUAUAAGAAAUACAAUUGAUAGAUAUCAAUUGAAAAGGUGUUUAUACUGACCAAGUGCAGUAAUGAAGUUUGUAAUGGCUAUAUACUGUUCAUGUGGAGAAACUGGUUUUUAAAAUAUAUGUCUUAUGUUUAUAAUUAUGUUUAAUUUGAUGAUUGCAUAGUAUAUCAAAUCAUCAUUUCUGUCUAUUAGUGUCUGUCUGUCCAUCCAUUUAUCUGUCUGAAGUCUGUUUUAUUUUAUAACCCUGAUGAGGUUACUGAUGUAGAUCAAGUUGAGAUCAUCAUUAUGACACUUAUAUACAACAAGCCUCACAGAAAAUAUCAGUCCUCUUAAAUUACAGAGUUUUUGAAUGAGUUAUGAAUGUAUGGUUGAGUAAAAUUUUUAUUUUAAAUAUUUUUUGAAAUGAUUUUUGUGAAUAAGAAUAUUUUUGUUAUAACUUAUCCUUAUCUAUAUUUUUAUCAUUUUUGCAUGAAAAAAAAUAUACAUAUCCUAGUUAGGCCACACCAAUAUAAUUUCUUGCUUGUCGGACAUUAAGUGGAAAAGGGUACAAGCGGGCUAGCGAUAAAAUAAUAAGAUUAUUAUUUUUUGUAGCCAAAAUUUUGAGGCGGUCCAUAAUGAUAUGAUUUGUAAAGUUUUAUUUAAACACGAGCAUGCAGGAUCCGAUAAAAAGGAAAUUUAAUUGGUGUGGCCUUCCACAUUUUCUAUAUUUUAGUUCAAAUUGAGGCUGAACCAUUGUAAUAUAUUACCCUGCAUAAUCAUUCUGAUAAAGUCUCAAUCAUACAUUAUAAAUAGCAUCAAGACCAAUAUGGGGACCAAGGAAGGGUUCAAAGUUCAAAGGAAUUAUAGGAUUGCAUACAAUCAUGUAUAUACAUAAGGACAAAUCAUAAAUCAUUUCAGAAUCUGCAGUGUUGUUUAGUCCAAUCAGAUAAUAUGAUUUAAAGAAUUAUCAUGAUUAAGUAUCACAUUUCAUUUUAUACCUGUAAUCAUUUGAAAGAUUCUCCUAUUUUCCGACACCCAUUUUAAUGCAAUACCUUACAAAUCAGGCAAAACUUUUAAAGAUUGAUAGAGGAAAUUCAAAUUAAUUACAAUCAGUAUAUGAUUUUUAUGAAACCUGUGAUUUAUUUGGUUUGAUUGUAUUUUAAAUCUUUCAACAAAGGCUUAAUAAAGAUUGUGUGUAUUAAAGUUUUCAUGCAUGUUUUUCUUUUUUGUGUACAGAGACUAGAGUUUCUUGAUUAUAUCAGAUGCACAACUAUGACACUCUGUUAAUUACCAUUAAAAUAAACUCUUUAGGAAGUGAAAAAAUUGUUAAAUUAAAGAAUCAUUUUCUCUUUAUAUGAUUGGUUUUUAGAAAUACUACCAUUUAUGGCAGUGUUGACUUUCAUGAAGCGCGCAGAGUGAUUUUUUGUAAAAGUCAGAUCAGAGGAAAUUCGGAUUUUCAGCCUUUUUAAUUCAAUUAGUUGUAGUAUUUACAACACAACUCCUUUAAUUUUGUUCGACAAGAACUUAUGCAGGUUCACAGUAUAACUAGUUGAAAGAAAUCGCCAUUUAAAACUGAAUUAUACGUCUUUUUUUAACAGCAUGUAGGGUUUGUAGCAUCUAUUUCAAUAGAGGUCAGAGGAAAUUCAGACGUUAUUAUUUUUUUUUCUAAUUCACGAACAUGCCAAUUAUUGAUUACUAAUUUUUUGCUAUUUAUCAUUUCUUCAAAAUUACAUAAAAAAAAUAAGAGUGUAAUUAUAGGAAAUUGUAUUUUUUGCAAUUUUUCUAGCUCGGGUCGCGUCAAAAAAUGUCACUUUUUUAGUGGUCAGAGGAAAUUCAAACUAAAAUAGCGGAUUAAAUAAAAGGAAUUCUUAUAAUCCAUUUUCAGAUAAAUAGAGUAUUUCAUUAACCUUUUUAAUAUUUUGGUGAGAAAAGUUUUCUAGUUAAUUGUAAAUAUGUCUUUUAUGACAUUUUAAAUUUGCUUUUAAGGUUUUUUGUCUCGUUCUAAUUUUUUGAACAUGGGUAAGUUUGAAGGUCGUUGCCAUGGAAACGAACUCACGAACAUAUGCUUAAAAUGUCUUUUUUGACAAAAACAAAUGGAUUAGAGUCUGUUUAAACAAUUUUUUCAAUUAUUCAAUUAGUUUCAUGUCAGGUUCACAUGCCCUUAAACAAAUUAGCUCUU